rnacentral:rRNA from 1 species
CCUACGGGUGGCUGCAGUGAGGAAUAUUGGUCAAUGGGCUUACGCCUGAACCAGCCAAGUCGCGUGAGGGAAGACUGCCCUAUGGGUUGUAAACCUCUUUUGUCAGGGAGCAAUUGGCGCUACGUGUAGCGUUAUCUAGAGUAACUGAAGGAAAAGCAUCGGCUAACUCCGUGCCAGCAGCCGCGGUAAUAAGGAGGGUGCGAGCGUUAUCCGGAUUUAUUGGGUUUAAAGGGGGCGUAGGCGGAAUGCCAAGUCAGCGGUAAAAUCGCGGGGCUCAACCUCGCUCUGCCGUUGAAACUGGCGUUCUUGAGUGCGCGCGAAGUAUGCGGAAUGCGUGGUGUAGCGGUGAAAUGCAUAGAUAUCACGCAGAACUCCGAUUGCGAAGGCAGGAGACCGGCGUCCAACUGACGCUGAAGCACGAAAGCGUGGGUAUCGAACAGGAUUAGAUACCCCAGUAGUC